rnacentral:rRNA from 1 species
UUGAACGCUGGCGGCAGGCCUAACACAUGCAAGUCGAACGGUAACAGGAAGCAGCUUGCUGCUUCGCUGACGAGUGGCGGACGGGUGAGUAAUGUCUGGGAAGCUGCCUUAUGGAGGGGGAUAACUACUGGAAACGGUAGCUAAUACCGCAUAAUGUCGCAAGACCAAAGAGGGGGACCUUCGGGCCUCUUGCCAUCGGAUGUGCCCAGAUGGGAUUAGCUUGUUGGUGGGGUAACGGCUCACCAAGGCGACGAUCCCUAGCUGGUCUGAGAGGAUGACCAGCCACACUGGAACUGAGACACGGUCCAGACUCCUACGGGAGGCAGCAGUGGGGAAUAUUGCACAAUGGGCGCAAGCCUGAUGCAGCCAUGCCGCGUGUAUGAAGAAGGCCUUCGGGUUGUAAAGUACUUUCAGCGGGGAGGAAGGGAGUAAAGUUAAUACCUUUGCUCAUUGACGUUACCCGCAGAAGAAGCACCGGCUAACUCCGUG